GAAUAAGAAGCGAAUUAUUGCAUUCAGUUUCGACCUGAAUAUUUGGUAUUUCUUUACCCUUAUUCU
rnacentral:tRNA from 1 species